CCGGCUUCCUCCCGGAAAACUACAAGUUCCAUCAUGCAAUGCUGGGAGGAUUCCGUUCGUGGGAAGAAUCUUUAACCCUUUUGUAACCGGAGGGCGUUUCAGCCCCAGCAGCUUGGCGUGGCAAAGUGCUGCAUCGCUACGCUGUCCAAAAUGCCCCCUCAUACACCAAUAUGUACUAUUAAUAUACCCUCUAACAUUUUACAGUCAGGUGCAAAGCUGUUAUGUACUCCGUAACUUUUAUUCUUGCAGGCAACAAGGAUAACUGCUUGAGCUCCCACACUGUUCAAGCCUCUUUAUUUUUUGUAUAUAUAAACAUCGCACACUCAAGGCGACUCGCAGUUCAAAAAUAACACACCCAACCCCAACACACACACACACACACACUCUAACAGUCUGUCUACCCGAUCAUAAAAUCAGGGAACAGCAAUUGGCCUUUUAAAAUAGUAAUGUGAGUAGACAUUCAACCAAAGGCAUGCUGAAAUAAAACAGUUCUCACUUGGAAUUUCACUGCCCCCGCAAAGAGAUAUUUAUUUAUAUACUCUGCAAUCGCCCGUCCUGCCGUGGCUUCAGAAAAAGUCAUGUGUGAGAAGACAUUCAACCAAAGGCGUGCUGAAAUAAAACAGUUCUCACUCGGAAUUUCACUGCCCCCGCAAAGAGAGAUUUAUUUAUCUACUCUGCAAUCGCCCAUCCUGCACUGACUUCAGAAAAAGAGGCUUUCAAACAGAGGCUCAACAGCCAUCUCACAGGGAUGCUGUGUAGCAGAUUCCUGAAUGGAACAGGGGCCUGGAUGAGAAGACCUAAAAGGCCCCUUCCAAAUCUAAAAUGCUGUGACUUCUAGAUCCAUUCAUAAGACUUUGCCCACAGGAUCCAACCACAUUUUCUGUGAAGAAGAAAAUAAAAGAAGUGAGCUUUCUGGAAAAUGUAUAGAACUCUUUUUCACUUUCUUUUAAAAUAGAUGAUUACCUUAGAAUCCAUCUUCCCUGCAAAGUCUUGGGCUUAAACCUGUGGUCCUCUCCAUUCCCAUCUGCAUCCAGACCAACCUGGGAGCAGGGGCCUGUAUUUUUUGCUGUUACCCUAUCACCACGUAUAUUGACGAAGCAGAAUGAAUAAAUGAAUGAAGUCAAGUCACCAAGAGUAUUCUGCGUUGUAUUGUGGCCUUCAGUACCUGCUGAUCUAGGGAGGCAAUCCGCCUCUUAUGUACCACUCUUUCCCCAAAAGCCUGCUGUGCAGAAAGGCAAGUAAUGAGGAGAAUAAAAUUAACAAAUCUAGUCUUUUUGCUUCAAAGACACCACCCAGAAUGUCUGCUGCACCAGCCUCAAUGACAUUCAUUAGAAUUACUCAAGGCCAUACCAGUUGUUGCAAAAGAUGUGCCAAGAAGAUUGUACUCUUUAGUCUAGAGAGUUUUGGAAGUUCUUUUUAAGUUUGUAUUUCAUA